AUUGAACGCUGGCGGCAGGCCUACCACAUGCAAGUCGAGCGGAGCGGCGGAAGGGUGAGUAAAGCCUAGGAAUCUGACUGGUAGUGGGGGAUAACGUCCGGAAACGGGCGCUAAUACCGCAUACUAUCAGAUGAGCCUAGGUCGGAUUAGCUAGUUGGUGGGGUAAAGGCCUACUAAGGCGACGAUCCGUAACUGGUCGGAGAGGAUGAACGGCCACAUUGGGACUGAGACACGGUCCAGACUCCUACGGGAGGCAGCAGUGGGGAAUAUUGGACAAUGGGCGAAAGCCUGAUCCAGCCAUGCCGCGUGUGUGAAGAAGGUCUUCGGAUUGUAAAGCACUUUAAGUUGGGAGGCGUUACCAACAGAAUAAGCACCGGCUAACUUCGUGCCAGCAGCCGCGGUAAUUC
rnacentral:rRNA from 1 species